rnacentral:tRNA from 1 species
GCCUUCUUAGCUCAGUCGGUAGAGUGGUUGUUUCGUAAACAACAGGUCGUGGGUUCAAGUCCCAUAGAAGGCU